rnacentral:rRNA from 1 species
CACGUAGGGCGCGAGCGUUGUCCGGAAUUAUUGGGCGUAAAGAGCUCGUAGGCGGCCUGUUGCGUCCGCUGUGAAAGCCCGGGGCUUAACCCCGGGUCGGCAGUGGAUACGGGCAGGCUAGAGGUAGGUAGGGGAGAAUGGAAUUCCCGGUGUAGCGGUGAAAUGCGCAGAUAUCGGGAGGAACACCCGUGGCGAAGGCGGCUCUCUGGAACGCAACUGACGCUGAGACGCGAAAGCGUGGGGAGCAAACAGG